CGAAGAGGCCCUAACACACAUCUCACCAGCCUCUGCACAUUGUCUGAUAUUUGCUGCGAAAUAAGAACAAAACCAAGUGGCUGCUCUCAAGUUCUACAGCACCCCAGGGUCCUGCCUCCUCCAACCUUCUAUCUUGUCCCCAUGCCACAGGCUGAAAAGGUUUGCUGCCCUCACCCUGCUCUCCUUGCCUUCCCGGGACCAUCCACAGAGUCGGGAAGCUUCCGGUAUGGCAGAUGUCUUGGCACAGUCACUACCCGAGGGGAAGGAUCAUACGCACGCCCAGAUCUCAUCCGAGCAAAAAGGAGCUGCUUCUGCCCUCCUGCAGUGUGCAGAGUUCUUGGAGGGGAGUGACACGGGCCCGGGCUGCCCUGCCAUGAGGUCAGCCUACACUGACAACCUGCACAAAGUUGAUGGCAAGAAGCACUUCCGGUCCCUGGCCUCAGGAGUGGCUGGGCCACAGGAAGAGGUGCUCACACCUGGCGAUUACUCCGGAUCCAUAACGCCGAGUGGGAAAUGGGGCCACAAAAGCAAAGCGGAGGGCGGCGAGGGUGAGGCACACAGGAGAACUGUGCUAUCCUCUCCCUGGAAGGAGCAAGCUCAUCCUCUCCAUCUGUCCUAAGAAGACCAGAAAACAGGAAGGGUAGAAUUCCACCACUACUUCCUCUCCUGCAUUCCCUGACCUUUGGCAUCCCCAAGGCCAUACUUGUUCACCACCUCCCCAGCAUUUGGUGAGUGAGUUGAGUCUCUGCUCAUCUCUCCUCAUUAGUAAGCAGAGUUACUUGAGGAAAAAGACACGAACUUAUUAUCCCUUGGGCUGAGGGACAGGUUUUCUGGCCAGAGGGUCAGAAGGUCUCAUAGCAGCUAACCGAGGUGAAGGGUUAGGAUGAAGAUGGGAGGUAGGUGGGAAUGAAAGGCUGCCUCUCGGGGGGCUGGCAGACAAGCAAGGCAGCCAUCUGGGCAUCCCCAGGGUGGCUUUCAUAGAGACUCCAUCAGCUAGAACAGGAUGGAGAACCCGGUCAUGGUUCAGGGCUCCAGCACCUGGAAAAAGGAGAAUGACCCUCAAGGAUCACAAACCAUUUUGAAGAGUUCAUCUUGGUCUUUCUGAGUUCUCACAAAUAAUCAAAGAAAGCCUAAGAGGUACUCUCAGUAUUCUCAAAGACUUAAUAAAAUUCUCACAUGUGUAAGAUUGCAGAAGGUAAAUUAAUCUUUGCCUUUGGCUAGGGUUUUAUCAGCACCGCAUCCCCACAGAGAAAUAAAUAACCUUAUAUAUUAAACUUGAUGAAUAAAACCUUUCAAGAUGUGGUCCUGAGCCCUUACAGACCAUGUCUCUUUCCUGCUCUUAAAUUCCUCAUGUCCCUUGGAAAAGCCAGUUUGUUGGUACCCAGACGUCACAUUCCUGUUGUACUAAAGAUGUCUUGUUGUCCCUGUCUGCCAGUCAGCCACCAACUAUAAUUCUAAUAACUUCAUCCCCAGAAGAGAUGGCCCCGAGAGACCACACAGCUGACCUCAGCAGGCCUCGGGCUGAGACUGAAUCAGCAGAUGCUAGCCUCCUGUCUUCUUGGCAACCCCAUGUGCCUGUGUGAGUUUUCCUGGUUUCCUUACUCCUUCCUAAAUGGAACCUUCUCCAGUUCUGCUAAAUCAGCACCCACUCUUCUGCUACAUACCUCUACUGAACCCCAGUGUCAACUCCCAUCUAUAAAUCCACAACUGCCAGGCGAGAGGGUCCCCAGAUCUGUGUGAGGAACAGCACUCUGACUUAUGCUUAACGUUGUGUCUAUCAGCCCUGGUAUCAAUGAUGUCACCUAAGAAAGCUAUUUCCUUCCUUCUUCCUUCUCUAAACCAUUCCCGUCUUCAAAAAUCAACUCACUGAAGAGUGGUAAGUCGAGUGACUGAUAGAAAAUUGUCAGGAAGUAAAACAGCAUUUAGUUCCUACUGACCAUCCAUGAGUCGCCCCAAGAAAGUAGGAAGAAGGAAGCUUACAGUUUCCUGGAGAGCCCUCCCUGCCUGUGGUCACAGAACAAAAGUUGGGAUGUUCAAAGGCUUGUGCCUGGCCUCUCAAACUGCUGGUCCUCUCUAGAGAGAGGGCCGAUCGCAUUUAGGCUCUGUAGGUUGUUAUGCCGGUGAAGGCAGGUACAGGAUAGAACGAGGCCUGUCAUUGGAUGAGAAGGAAGGAUGGGCGGGAGAGAAGUUUUAGAGAGGAGGAGACCAGAGCAAGAGGGAGGGAGAGGCUGAGAAAGCAUGGCAGCCAUGGCAGUGGACGUUGAGAUUUCUCUCUGCACAUUUACAGGUUGUUAUGACUUCAUACGGCAUAGACUGUACAGGAUUUUGUGCUGUUUAGAUGGGCAAUUAUAUCCUAUCAAUGGAUCAGAGGUUAUUGUGUGGUGUGUUCUUUCAUGUGGCAACUUAAUUGAGUUCAAGAGAGUGUGUGGCGGCGGGACACUGAGCCUGCCAUGGAAUUGGGAUGCGUAUGCCUGGCAUGGUGAAGCCUGCCUUGGGAACUAGAUGGGUAGAGAGAUUGCUGCCGGGCUCAGAGAGUAGCCAUCAGCAGUGUGAUAUGGGAUGGAGCUUAGCCGGUGAGACACUUUGUUGACUGAGAUGAAAAUAUCCCACGGAUGCAGCGUGGCCCUACGGUGCCAGCACUAGGGUGGGAAAAAAGAAACCUUUUUUAAAAUUAUACCACAACAGGGCAAGAAACCACUAGUAAAUUAAGAUUAUCAGCCUAAGAGUUAGAUACAAAGUUUUAUUUUCUAAGUAAGAAGGGGCCAGCGCCAUGUUGAGUCACAUGAUGUCUCAAGGGCGGGAACCUUAAACAAGGAAAAACUGGCAGAGUUUAGACGCUGCAUGUUUCUUUAACAAAAGUUGUUUGGAAAAGGAUUUAAUCUAUGUUUGGUUUAAUUGCUUAAAGAUAGUAGAAAAAUUAAUGCUCUAUUA
rnacentral:lncRNA from 14 species